GGUCAAGUCACUUGAGCUCCUUGGGACUGUUUCCUCAUCUACAAAGUGUCUUCAGAAGAGAGUAGCAUUUGGAUCACUAGGCCGAAUAAAGAAGGUCACCCUUCCCAAUGCAAGUCGACCUCAUCCAGUCCACUGAGGGCUUGAAUAGAGUGAACAGGUGAAGAAAGGGUGAAUUCAGUCUCUGCUUGGGGAGCUGAGACAUCCAUCUUCCCCUGCCCUCGGACCCUGACACUCCUCCAUCUAGGACCUUCUUAUUCAGACUGAGACUGACAAUGGCCCUUCAGUUGUGAGGCAUUUGGACUGAGUUACACCAUCAACUUUCUGGGUCUCCAUCUUGUAAAUGGCAGAUGAUCAGCUUCAUACCAUGUGAGCCAAUUCCUAUAAUAAAUCUCAGGCUCUCCA